UAGGUUAACCAAGGAUCCUGGUUUGCCUGGGACUGAGGCAUUUCCCAGGAAGAGGAACUUGAGGUGCUAAAACUUGCAAAGUC
rnacentral:miRNA from 1 species